UACGUAGGUGGCGAGCGUUGUCCGGAAUUACUGGGCGUAAAGGGCGAGUAGGCGGUAACACAAGUCAGAUGUGAAAGGCGAGGGCUCAACUCUCGGAUUGCAUUUGAAACUGUGUAACUUGAGUGCGGUAGAGGAAAGUGGAAUUCCCAGUGUAGCGGUGAAAUGCGUAGAUAUUAGGAGGAACACCAGUGGCGAAGGCGGCUUUCUGGACUGUAACUGACACUGAGGCACGAAAGCGUGGGGAGCAAACAGGAUUAGAUACCCGCGUA
rnacentral:rRNA from 1 species